AGCAGCCGCGGUAAUUCCAGCUCCAAUAGCGUAUAUUAAAGUUGUUGCAGUUAAAAAGCUCGUAGUUGAAUUUCGGGGUCAGUAGGUUGGUCGUGCCACUGGUAUGCACUGGUCUCACUGAUUCCUCCUUCCUGAUGAACCGUAAUGCCAUUAAUUUGGUGUUGCGGGGAAUCUGGACUGUUACUUUGAAAAAAUUAGAGUGUUUAAAGCAGGCUAACGCUUGAAUACAUUAGCAUGGAAUAAUGAAAUAGGACGAUCGAUCCUAUUUUGUUGGUUUCUAGGAUUGACGUAAUGAUUAAUAGGGAUAGUUGGGGGCAUUAGUAUUCAAUUGUCAGAGGUGAAAUUCUUGGAUUUAUUGAAGACUAACUACUGCGAAAGCAUUUGCCAAGGAUGUUUUCAUUAAUCAAGAACGAAAGUUAGGGGAUCGAAGACGAUCAGAUACCGUCGUAGUCUUAACCAUAAACUAUGCCGACUAGGGAUCGGGUGAUGUUAAUUUUUUAAUGACUCAUUCGGCGCCUUA
rnacentral:rRNA from 1 species